CAGCUGCUGGGGUGUGCUCAGUAAUGCGAUGCAGUGUCCACGAGAGAAUACCAUGCAAAUGAUUGGCUGAGAUGUUUCCUAUUCAUCCACUAGGGGGCCACACUGAGCUAGAGAUGUCUAAAACAGAUGCUGACGUUCUCUCCCGUCUCUCUCCAACAGCUGAAUCACCAAGCAGAUGGAGCGUUUAACACCUU